GUCGGUGUUAAAUUAUUUUUAAUACUCAAUUGGUAUAAUAUCAUUUGCAGGUGAAGUGAAAUUAUUUCGAAGGUUUAAAUGAUUUCUUGGGCUUGGUUCCUAUUGGUGCUUGGUACGGGAAUGGAAGGAAUGCUGGAUGGUACAAUCCAUUUCUAAUGGCUUGCUAUGAUCCCGACACUGAUGAAUAUCAAAGUGUCUGUCGUGUAAUGUCCGGCUUCUCUGAUGCGUUCUGUAUAGAGGUUCUCUGUCUCCACUCUGAAAACCCUAGCUCCGCACCAUAUUCUUCAAAAAUGAGGGUGGGAUGCGACAUAGAUGAUGAGAAUCCGAGUCUAGAUUCGACUUGCUAGAAUAUUUUGUGCAGUUGCGUGUUUCAAAAACGAAGAUGAAGGAGCGGAGGUGAAAGAGAACACAAACAAGAUUUUAGCCGUCUUUUUUGCUGAAUUUGGUAUCACAAGUGAUGCAGCAUUGAAGGUCGGUACGUUCGAGUUGGGUCGCGUCGGGUCAUUUGUUUAUUAAAUGUAUCCCGUGUGGGAAUUGAGUUUGGUUAGGAUGAUAAGUAGUGGAGUUCUGUUUUUCUUUAAUUUCUUGAUCACUCAAAUGAAGCUGGUUAAAUUUUUCGCA